UACGGAGGGGACUAGCGUUGUUCGGAAUUACUGGGCGUAAAGGGUGCGUAGGUGGCGGGGUAAGUCAGGUGUGAAAUUUCGGAGCUUAACUCCGAAACUGCAUUUGAUACUGCCUUGCUUGAGGACUGGAGAGGAGACUGAAAUUCACGGUGUAGCAGUGAAAUGCGUAGAGAUCGUGAGGAAGACCAGUGGCGAAGGCGGGUCUCUGGACAGUUCCUGACACUGAGGCACGAAGGCCAGGGGAGCAAACGGG
rnacentral:rRNA from 1 species